rnacentral:antisense_RNA from 1 species
AGUGGUCUAAGACCAUGCGGAUCUAGCGCGACCAUUAAUUCCGUCUCCGUCAUAACUAGAAACGCAUAAGCCCCUUUCAGCAUCGUUAACGCAUUUUUAACGCGGUCUUUGAAUUCAGGUAAGCCGGCGCGUUUUAUUAAAUGAGCAAGAACUUCUGUAUCAGAGCUUGUUUGAAAAAUGCUCCCUUGCGCCUCUAAUUGGAACUUCAGCGCAUUAGCAUUCACAAGGUUGCCAUUAUGGGCAACAGCCAAUCCGCCGCUCUGG